GAUGAACGCUGGCGGCGUGCCUAAUACAUGCAAGUCGAGCGAACGGACGAGAAGCUUGCUCCUCUGAUGUUAGCGGCGGACGGGUGAGUAACACGUGGAUAACCUACCUAUAAGACUGGGAUAACUUCGGGAAACCGGAGCUAAUACCGGAUAAUAUUUUGAACCGCAUGGUUCAAAAGUGAAAGACGGUCUUGCUGUCACUUAUAGAUGGAUCCGCGCUGCAUUAGCUAGUUGGUAAGGUAACGGCUUACCAAGGCAACGAUGCAUAGCCGACCUGAGAGGGUGAUCGGCCACACUGGAACUGAGACACGGUCCAGACUCCUACGGGAGGCAGCAGUAGGGAAUCUUCCGCAAUGGGCGAAAGCCUGACGGAGCAACGCCGCGUGAGUGAUGAAGGUCUUCGGAUCGUAAAACUCUGUUAUUAGGGAAGAACAUAUGUGUAAGUAACUGUGCACAUCUUGAUGGUACCUAAUCAGAAAGCCACGGCUAACUACGUG
rnacentral:rRNA from 1 species